rnacentral:rRNA from 1 species
UACAGAGGGGGCAAGCGUUAUUCGGAAUUAUUGGGCGUAAAGGGCGCGUAGGCGGCUUUGCAAGUGACGGGUGAAAGCCCUCGGCUUAACCGAGGAACUGCCUGUCAGACUGUAAGGCUUGAGACCGGGAGAGGUGAGUGGAAUUCCCAGUGUAGCGGUGAAAUGCGUAGAUAUCGGGAAGAACACCUGUGGCGAAGGCGGCUCUCUGGGACGGUACUGACGCUGAGACGCGAAAGCUAGGGGAGCGAACGGG